GACGAACGCUGGCGGCGUGCUUAACACAUGCAAGUCGAACGGAAAGGCCCUGCUUUUGUGGGGUGCUCGAGUGGCGAACGGGUGAGUAACACGUGAGUAACCUGCCCUUGACUUUGGGAUAACUUCAGGAAACUGGGGCUAAUACCGGAUAGGAGCUCCUGCUGCAUGGUGGGGGUUGGAAAGUUUCGGCGGUUAGGGAUGGACUCGCGGCUUAUCAGCUUGUUGGUUGGGUAGUGGCUUACCCAGGCUUUGACGGGUAGCCGGCCUGAGAGGGUGGCCGGCCACAUUAGGACUGAGAUACGGACCAGACUCCUACGGGGGGCAGCAGGGGGGAAUAUGGCACAAUGGGCGGAAGCCUGAUGCAGCAACGCCGCGUGCGGGAUGACGGCCUUCUGGUUGUAAACCGCUUUCGCCUGUGACGAAGCGGGAGUGACGGUAAUAGGUAAAGAAGCACCGGCUAACUACGUG
rnacentral:rRNA from 1 species